rnacentral:lncRNA from 8 species
AAGAGAGUGACCCUGUAUCCGUAGCGUGUUUGGGUGGAUCCAUCUGAGGGGCACGGUGGAUGAGAUAUGGUACUCUUUGUACCCAAUGACAGGAUGGGUGUGAUGCAGUCCGACUUACUAGAUGUAACAUAGUAUAGUGUGAUAGAUAGACCAGACCACAAUCACACCCUAUGUCGAGAAGCUGAGCUGAAGUUUACCACAAAUAAAUGUGUCAGAAAGAUGGGUGUAAAGAUUACCAGCAUGAUUUAGAUCUAUAAACAGGAACAAUACCAGUGAAAACAUCCACCUGCCUGCUCGAAAUGUCAUAAAAGCAAGCUAAAGAUCCAUUUCAGCCAUACCCAUCAAAUAAAUUGUGUCGAACAAUAACAUCUUUCGUAGAAGCUCAGUCGACUGCAGACUGCCUUAAAAUGUGUCAUAAAAUGGCUUGACGGUGAGCAAACAAAUCACUAUAAAUUACAGUAUAACACUUUAUGUGAAAUGUUAAACAUUUGCACAUUGACUUUGCUCCUACACGCACAAUCACAGCUGAAGCCCAACUAAUGAGGCCAACAGAUACAGUAGCAAAAAAAAAAGCCUAACAAAAUUCUUAGAUUCUCAGCUGGACAUUCAAAUAUGACCCCGUGACUCACAAAGCUCUAGCAGGCUCUAGACAGCACCCAUAAAACCAGGCUGCGCUGAGCCCUGAAGGACUGCAGUUGUUAGCCACUGACCUGACCUACAAUAUUGACUCCUAGACUCUAUAUAUAGCCCUGACUGGCAGCUUCCUGAGGCGUGUGGUGCAUCAAGGCCCUGAUGACUGACUUUGCAACUUCAAAGCAGCAGAGCCUACCAUCACCUCAGUGCUAUCCUGAGAUCCUUCUCAAUCGAAUUACUGUACGUCUUAAUAAUGGCCAGAGAGGCAGAUCGCAAUAAAUCUGCUUCAAUACAGAAACAGACCUAUUUUAUGCAGCCAUUUCCCUGUGUGCCAAUUUUCUUUAUCAGAGGUGAUGUUUGAAUGGAGGAUGUUGACUUCAAAGAUAAAACAGGCUGGGCUAUAGAGGGAGAACACAAGGUCCCUUCUGUGACUCCGUCUGGACCUGAACUCUUGAAGACCAGUAGUUCUGAGAUUCCCAAGUACACCUCUCCAAAUUGGUCUGACUGAACAAUGCCUUUUUUUCCUUUGUUACUGAACAAAUAUUUUCAUAAUAGCUCUCCCCUGUAAUGUUUAUAUGUACAAGUUAUUUGUCCUCAUUUUCAGUAUGGUAUGUUGUAAUUGUUUAUUUAGAGGGACAGAACAGUACAUCCUGAUGGUCCUCUGUUGUCCCUCUUCUCUUCCUAGGAAGUUGUGGAGGCGCCAGUGAUAGGCUAAGUAAACUGUUAUGGCUGAUGCUUUUAGCGACCAUUGACAUGUCUGCAAUAUUAAACACAGUGAUCCAGAGGAUCAAAUAUAAACACAAGCAUGGACAAACAAAUAGAUGACAGUCACCAAGGAAAUGCAUAACAAUGCAUGGUUAUGGCAUGCAAUAUAGCCAGUGUCUCCAAUCCAGGUACAUCUGAAUUCUUCUAUUCAUCUUCUAUUAGCCAGCACAUGAUUUGGUUCUGUGUUUUAUUAGUCAUCUAUUUUAGAAUGGCAUACGGGCA